rnacentral:rRNA from 1 species
CGCGGCCUAUCAGCUUGUUGGUGAGGUAAUGGCUCACCAAGGCUUCGACGGGUAGCCGGCCUGAGAGGGCGACCGGCCACACUGGGACUGAGAUACGGCCCAGACUCCUACGGGAGGCAGCAGUGGGGAAUAUUGCACAAUGGGCGCAAGCCUGAUGCAGCAACGCCGCGUGCGGGAUGACGGCCUUCGGGUUGUAAACCGCUUUCAGUAGGGACGAAGCUAACGUGACGGUACCUACAGAAGAAGGACCGGCUAACUACGUGCCAGCAGCCGCGGUGAUACGUAGGGUCCGAGCGUUGUCCGGAAUUAUUGGGCGUAAAGGGCUUGUAGGCGGUCCGUCGCGUCAGGAGCGAAAACUCGGGGCUUAACCCCGAGCCUGCUUUUGACACGGGCGGACUAGAGGGAUGCAGGGGAGAACGGAAUUCCUGGUGGAGCGGUGGAAUGCGCAGAUAUCAGGAGGAACACCGGUGGCGAAGGCGGUUCUCUGGGCAUCACCUGACGCUGAGAAGCGAAAGCGUGGGGAGCAAACAGGCUUAGAUACCCUGGUAGUCCACGCCGUAAACGGUGGGCACUAGGUGUGGGGGACAUUCCACGUUCUCCGUGCCGAAGCUAACGCAUUAAGUGCCCCGCCUGGGGAGUACGG